UGGGGAAGUCUUCCGCAAUGGGCGCAAGCCUGACGGAGCAACGCCGCGUGAAUGAAGAAGGUCUUCGGAUCGUAAAGUUCUGUUCUUAGGGAAGAAGUCUUAGGUUGUGAAUAAUGACUUAAGGUGACGGUACCUAUGGAGAAAGCUCCGGCUAACUACGUGCC
rnacentral:rRNA from 1 species